rnacentral:rRNA from 1 species
AAAACUGGGGUUAAUUCCCGAUGGGUGAGGAGGCCUGGAAUGGACCCUCGCCCAAAAGACGUUGAGUCCAUGCUAUUCAGCGCCGCCCAAGGAUGGGGCCGCGACCGAUCAGGUAGUUGGUGAGGCAACGGCUCACCAAGCCUAUAACCGGUACGGGCCGUGAGAGCGGGAGCCCGGAGAUGGGCACUGAGACAAGGGCCCAGGCCCUACGGGGCGCAGCAGUUGCGAAAACUCCGCAAUGCGCGAAAGCGUGACGGGGCUACCCCGAGUGCCGCCCGUUGAGGGCGGCUUUUCCACGGUGUAAGGAGCCGUGGGAAUAAGGAGAGGGCAAGACUGGUGUCAGCCGCCGCGGUAAUACCAGCUCUCCGAGUGGUGGGGACGAUUAUUGGGCUUAAAGCGUUCGUAGCCGGCUUAACAAGUCUUCCGUUAAAUCCAACGAUCUAAUCGUUGGGCUGCGGGAGAUACUGUUGGGCUAGGAGGCGGGAGAAGCCGACGGUAUUCUCGGGGUAGGGGUGAAAUCCUAUAAUCCCGGGCGGACCACCAGUGGCGAAGGCUGUCGGCUAGAACGCGCUCGACGGUGAGGGACGAAAGCUGGGGUAGCGAACCGGAUUAGAUACCCGGGUAGUCCCAGCCGUAAACGAUGCGGGCUAGGUGUUGGGGUGGCUACGUGCCACUUCAGUGCCGCAGGGAAGCCAUUAAGCCCGCCGCCUGGGGAGUACGGCCGCAAGGCUGAAACUUAA